ACUCCUACGGGAGGCAGCAGUGGGGAAUUUUGGACAAUGGGCGCAAGCCUGAUCCAGCCAUGCCGCGUGCAGGAUGAAGGCCUUCGGGUUGUAAACUGCUUUUGUACGGAACGAAAAGACUCCUUUUAAUAAAGGGGGUUCAUGACGGUACCGUAAGAAUAAGCACCGGCUAACUACGUGCCAGCAGCCGCGGUAAUACGUAGGGUGCAAGCGUUAAUCGGAAUUACUGGGCGUAAAGCGUGCGCAGGCGGUUAUAUAAGACAGAUGUGAAAUCCCCGGGCUCAACCUGGGAACUGCAUUUGUGACUGUAUAGCUGGAGUACGGCAGAGGGGGAUGGAAUUCCGCGUGUAGCAGUGAAAUGCGUAGAUAUGCGGAGGAACACCGAUGGCGAAGGCAAUCCCCUGGGCCUGUACUGACGCUCAUGCACGAAAGCGUGGGGAGCAAACAGGAUUAGAUACCCUGGUAGUCCACGCCCUAAACGAUGUCAACUGGUUGUUGGGAAUUCACUUUCUCAGUAACGAAGCUAACGCGUGAAGUUGACCGCCUGGGGAGUACGGCCGCAAGUUGAAACUCAAAGGAAUUGACGGGG
rnacentral:rRNA from 1 species